CAACCUCAACUCAUAUGGGACUACCCCCUGAAUUUAAGCAUAUUAAUUAGGGGAGGAAAAGAAACUAACAAGGAUUUUCUUAGUAGCGGCGAGCGAAAAGAAAUCAGUUCAGCACUAAGUCACUUUGUCUAUAUGGCAAAUGUGAGAUGCAGUGUACGGAACAUCAACAUUCUAGUAUGAGAAGUUAACGAUUUAAGUCCUUCUUAAAUGAGGCCAUUUACCCAUAGAGGGUGCCAGGCCCGUAUAACGUUAAUGAUUACUAGAUGGUGUUUCCAAAGAGUCGUGUUGCUUGAUAGUGCAGCACUAAGUGGGUGGUAAACUCCAUCUAAAACUAAAUAUAACCAUGAGACCGAUAGUAAACAAGUACCGUGAGGGAAAGUUGAAAAGAACUCUGAAUAGAGAGUUAAAUAGUACGUGAAACUGCUUAGAGGUUAAGCCCGAUGAACCUGAAUAUCCGUUAUGGAAAAUUCAUCAUUAGAAUUGUAAUAUUUUAAACAAUAUUAUAAUAAUAGUGUGCAUUUUUUCCAUAUAAGGACAUUGUAAUCUAUUAGCAUAAAUAUUUAUCAUAAAAUUAUGUCUGAUUGCUUAUUUGAAUUAUAUGCUUGGCAUUUUAACAUAAAAUAAAAGAUAUAAAUUUGAUAAAGUGCUGAUAGAUUUAUAUGAUUACAGUGCGUUAAUUUUUCGGAAUUAUAUAAUGGCAUAAUUAUCAUUGAUAUUUGUGUUUAUUAUAUGCAUUUGUAUGAUUAACAAU
rfam:Drosophila virilis strain TSC#15010-1051.87 Ctg01_2005, whole genome shotgun sequence.